CAAAGUUAAAUAAUAGGAACUCGUAUAAACUCUUGAAUAUGGCAAGGGUGUUUCUACCAGGUGACCGUAAAUCACGACAGGCUACGAGUGGAAGUGCACCUUAG
rfam:Actinobacteria bacterium RBG_13_35_12 RBG_13_scaffold_12354, whole genome shotgun sequence.